rnacentral:rRNA from 1 species
AGAGUUUGAUCAUGGCUCAGAAUCAACGCUGGCGGCGUGCCUAACACAUGCAAGUCGAGCGAGAAAAGGGGGGCAACUCCCUGAGUACGGCGGCGCACGGGUGAGUAACACGUGGGUAAUCUGCCCUGAAGUGGGGAAUAACACCGGGAAACCGGUGCUAAUACCGCAUACGAUCACAGAGUCUGCGGAUUUUGUGAUGAAAGGAGCAAUUCGCUUUAGGAGGAGCCCGCGGCUGAUUAGCUUGUUGGUGAGGUAAUGGCUCACCAAGGCUACGAUCAGUAUCCGGUCUGAGAGGACGGCCGGACACACUGGAACUGAGACACGGUCCAGACUCCUACGGGAGGCAGCAGUGGGGAAUUUUUGGCAAUGGGGGCAACCCUGACCAAGCAACGCCGCGUGGGUGAUGAAGUCUCUUGGGACGUAAAACCCUUUCGACGGGGAAGAAACCGCAAGGUUGACGGUACCCGUAGAAGAAGCCCCGGCUAACUCCGUGCCAGCAGCCGCGGUAAUACGGGGGGGGCAAGCGUUGUUCGGAAUUACUGGGCGUAAAGGGUGCGUAGGCGGUGCUCUAAGUCGGUUGUGAAAACUCUGGGCUCAACCCAGAGCCUGCAUCCGAAACUAAAGUGCUAGAGUUCUGGAGGGGGUAGCGGAAUUCCUGGUGUAGCGGUGAAAUGCGUAGAUAUCAGGAGGAACACCGGUGGCGAAGGCGGCUACCUGGACAGAAACUGACGCUGAGGCACGAAAGCUAGGGGAGCAAACAGGAUUAGAUACCCUGGUAGUCCUAGCCCUAAACGAUGGAUACUUGGUGUGACCGGGAUUGAAUCCGGUCGUGCCGAAGCUAACGCAUUAAGUAUCCCGCCUGGGGAGUACGGUCGCAAGGCUGAAACUCAAAGGAAUUGACGGGGGCCCGCACAAGCGGUGGAGUAUGUGGUUUAAUUCGACGCAACGCGAAGAACCUUACCUGGGCUCG